GAACCACUAUAUAUAAGUCUUCCUUAAGUCUUUCUUAGUCUCUAACAAUAGUUGUCAAAGAUAGAGAUAAUGAUCAUUGGAAGGCAGAUGGCAGAGCAACUUAUCAGUAAUAUAGUUGGUCACUUGUUGGACUUCAUUCAACAAACCCUAACCCUAAUUCUUCACUUCUUGGGGAACACAUUGGUGCUUUUGGGUUUCUAGAAAGAUGAUGAAGGCCCCUGGAAGGAAUGGCACAAUAUUCAUUCCAAGGAGAUCUUUUGAGACCAACCCUAGAGGUUAUUUUAGAAACCUCAGGGGAAAAUAGUCCAACUUUGUCUUUUGAGAAGUUGUGUGUUUGUUAAUUUGUUUGAUAUAUAUAUAUAUAUAGUUUUUCAUGUAUAAUUUCAUUGUUAUAUAUAUGUAUGGAUGAUGUUUAUGUAUGAGAGGGUUGUUGAUGAUGUCCUUAUGAUUUAAUAAAUUAAAUAUUUAUGUUUA